rnacentral:rRNA from 1 species
UUUUAUGAGAGUUUGAUCCUGGCUCAGGACGAACGCUGGCGGCGUGCCUAAUACAUGCAAGUCGUACGCUUCUUUUUCCACCGGAGCUUGCUCCACCGGAAAAAGAAGAGUGGCGAACGGGUGAGUAACACGUGGGUAACCUGCCCAUCAGAAGGGGAUAACACUUGGAAACAGGUGCUAAUACCGUAUAACAAUCGAAAUCGCAUGAUUUUGAUUUGAAAG